UCCAUAAUGCCAGUUUUGGACCCAAUAUAAUCAAAAAUGCCAGUUUUUUAUUAGGCUUUUAAGGAGUGCCACAUAUAGUAAAAAUAUGUGGUUGAAUAGACGAAAAUGCCCUCAGUCAAAAGGAGAGGACUUUGCACGAUUUUCUAAAAAUGAAGGAGAUGGGACAUUUUUUGCUGCAGCUACAGAAGCAUUAAUUGGUAACAAGGUAAGCUAUUACCUAAAGGAUAAUUGAUGACAAUUGAUUUAGAUUGGGUUUAGAAAACAAAUUCGUCCAUUGUCCAUUGAUGUUAUCCAUUGCUAUUGUCCAUUGUUGUUGUCCAUUGCGAUUUUAAAAAAAAUGAAGGAGAUGGUACAAUGUAUUUUUGCACAAUGUAUUUUGUCUAUACAUCUAACAUCUAACAUAUGUAUUAUAGACAAGUUCAUUUAUGAAAAUUUGGACUCAGUUUGCUAUAUACGUAUGAUGGACAACAAAUUAGGAAACAAAAAAUGAUAUAUUACAGACAUUGGAUCUCGUCCACCGGAUCUAGUAUACUGGAUAUAGUCUACCGAAUUUAGUCCACUGGAUCUAGUCUACCGGAUCUAGUCCAUCAGAUCUAGUCCAUCAGAUCUAGUCCAUCUAUACACAAAUGUGAGAUCCAAAGUGUAAACCUCGAUGGAUCGUAAUGAUAUCUUCCAUAGAUGCACUACUUGUUUCAUAAUGUGGUCAAUCACUUGUGGUUUCAAGAGAUUUGUAUGAUGGACAAGUUUGGUCCAUCGGUUUCAGUUCACCAGAUCUGGUCCAUUGAAAGACAAAAACAAAACAUGGCUGGAAAAUUGAUUUGGUCACCACGUGAAGCACAUAACUAUCUAGAGUGAAAGCAUCGUUGUUCAUUGUUGUGGUCAAAAUAAUUUCUUCCUCCAAGCCUUUGGUCUUCCAUUAGAUGUAUAUUGAGAGAAUAGAUAAAUUGUUGUA
rnacentral:lncRNA from 1 species